UACGAAGGGGGCGAGCGUUGUUCGGAUUUACUGGGCGUAAAGGGCUCGUAGGUGGCCAACUAAGUCAGACGUGAAUCCCUCGGCUUAACCGGGGAACUGCAUCUGAUACUGGAUGGCUUGAGUUUGGGAGAGGGACGCGGAAUUCCAGGUGUAGCGGUGAAAUGCGUAGAUAUCUGGAGGAACACCGGUGGCGAAGGCGGCGUCCUGGACCAACACUGACACUGAGGAGCGAAAGCCAGGGGAGCAAACGGG
rnacentral:rRNA from 1 species